CUUUGGGAUAACCCUCGGAAACGGGGGCUAAUACCGGAUAUGACCUCCUGUCGCAUGGUGGGGGGUGGAAAGUUUUUCGGCCUGGGAUGGGCUCGCGGCCUAUCAGCUUGUUGGUGGGGUGAUGGCCUACCAAGGCGACGACGGGUAGCCGGCCUGAGAGGGCGACCGACCACACUGGGACAGAGACACGGCCCAGACUCCUACGGGAGGCAGCAGUGGGGAAUAUUGCACAGUGGGCGGAAGCCUGAUGCAGCGACGCCGCGUGAGGGAUGACGGCCUUCGGGUUGUAAACCUCUUUCAGCAGGGACGAAGCGCAAGUGACGGUACCUGCAGAAGAAGCGCCGGCCAACUACGUGCCAGCAGCCGCGGUAAGACGUAGGGCGCGAGCGUUGUCCGGAUUUAUUGGGCGUAAAGAGCUCGUAGGCGGCUUGUCGCGUCGACCGUGAAAACUUGGGGCUCAACCCCAAGCCUGCGGUCGAUACGGGCAGGCUAGAGUUCGGUAGGGGAGACUGGAAUUCCUGGUGUAGCGGUGAAAUGCGCAGAUAUCAGGAGGAACACCGGUGGCGAAGGCGGGUCUCUGGGCCGAUACUGACGCUGAGGAGCGAAAGCGUGGGGAGCGAACAGGAUUAGAUACCCAGGUAGUCCACGCUGUAAACGUUGGGCGC
rnacentral:rRNA from 1 species